rnacentral:rRNA from 1 species
UACGUAGGCAGCGAGCGUUGUUCGGAGUUACUGGGCGUAAAGGGUGUGUAGGCGGAUCGUUAAGUGUCUUGUGAAAUCCCACGGCUCACCCGUGGAACUGCUGGGCAUACUGGCGAUCUUGGGCCAACUAGGGGCAACUGGAACAAGCGGUGGAGCGGUGAAAUGCGUAGAUAUCGCUUGGAACGCCAACGGUGAAAACAGGUUGCUGGGGUUGUGCCGACGCUGAGACACGAAAGCCAGGGGAGCAAACGGG